rnacentral:rRNA from 1 species
UCGAGCGGAAAGAGUCUCUUCGGAGAUACUCGAGUGGCGAACGGGUGAGUAACACGUGGGUGAUCUGCCCUGCACUUCGGGAUAAACCUGGGAAACUGGGUCUAAUACCGGAUAGGACCACGGGAUGCAUGUCUUGUGGUGGAAAGCGCUUUAGCGGUGUGGGAUGAGCCCGCGGCCUAUCAGCUUGUUGGUGGGGUGACGGCCUACCAAGGCGACGACGGGUAGCCGGCCUGAGAGGGUGUCCGGCCACACUGGGACUGAGAUACGGCCCAGACUCCUACGGGAGGCAGCAGUGGGGAAUAUUGCACAAUGGGCGCAAGCCUGAUGCAGCGACGCCGCGUGGGGGAUGACGGCCUUCGGGUUGUAAACCUCUUUCACCAUCGACGAAGGUCCGGGUUCUCUCGGAUUGACGGUAGGUGGAGAAGAAGCACCGGCCAACUACGUGCCAUCAGCCGCGGUAAUACGUAGGGUGCGAGCGUUGUCCGGAAUUACUGGGCGUAAAGAGCUCGUAGGUGGUUUGUCGCGUUGUUCGUGAAAUCUCACGGCUUAACUGUGAGCGUGCGGGCGAUACGGGCAGACUAGAGUACUGCAGGGGAGACUGGAAUUCCUGGUGUAGCGGUGGAAUGCGCAGAUAUCAGGAGGAACACCGGUGGCGAAGGCGGGUCUCUGGGCAUUAACUGACGCUGAGGAGCGAAAGCGUGGGGAGCGAACAGGAUUAGAUACCCUGGGUAGUCCACGCCGUAAACGGUGGGUACUAGGUGUGGGUUUCCUUCCUUGG